UGGGGAAUAUUGCACAAUGGGCGCAAGCCUGAUGCAGCCAUGCCGCGUGUGUGAAGAAGGCCUUCGGGUUGUAAAGCACUUUCAGCGGGGAGGAAGGCGAUAAGGUUAAUAACCUCAUCGAUUGACGUUACCCGCAGAAGAAGCACCGGCUAACUCCGUGCCAGCAGCCGCGGUAAUACGGAGGGUGCAAGCGUUAAUCGGAAUUACUGGGCGUAAAGCGAACGCAGGCGGUCUGUCAAGUCGGAUGUGAAAUCCCCGGGCUCAACCUGGGAACUGCAUUCGAAACUGGCAGGCUAGAGUCUUGUAGAGGGGGGUAGAAUUCCAGGUGUAGCGGUGAAAUGCGUAGAGAUCUGGAGGAAUACCGGUGGCGAAGGCGGCCCCCUGGACAAAGACUGACGCUCAGGUGCGAAAGCGUGGGGAGCAAACAGG
rnacentral:rRNA from 1 species